rnacentral:rRNA from 1 species
AGUGAACGCUGGCGGUAGGCCUAACACAUGCAAGUCGAACGGCAGCACAGUAAGAGCUUGCUCUUACGGGUGGCGAGUGGCGGACGGGUGAGGAAUACAUCGGAAUCUACUUUUUCGUGGGGGAUAACGUAGGGAAACUUACGCUAAUACCGCAUACGACCUACGGGUGAAAGCAUGGGAUCUUCGGACCUUGCGCGAUUGAAUGAGCCGAUGUCGGAUUAGAUAGUUGGCGGGGUAAAGGCCCACCAAGGCGACGAUCCGUAGCUGGUCUGAGAGGAUGAUCAGCCACACUGGAACUGAGACACGGUCCAGACUCCUACGGGAGGCAGCAGUGGGGAAUAUUGGACAAUGGGCGCAAGCCUGAUCCAGCCAUACCGCGUGGGUGAAGAAGGCCUUCGGGUUGUAAAGCCCUUUUGUUGGGAAAGAAAAGCAGCAGGUUAAUACCCCGCUGUUAUGACGGUAACCAAAGAAUAAGCACCGGCUAACUUCGUG